UACGAGUGCCCCAAGCGUUAUCCGGAAUCAUUGGGCGUAAAGGGUGUGUAGGCGGUUGUGUUUGUCUCAUGUCAAAUUCUUCGGCUUAACCGGGGUACCGCAUGGGAAACGGCACAACUAGAGGAUGCGAGGGGUCUGUAGAACUCAUGGAGUAGGGGUGAAAUCCGUUGAUAUCAUGGGGAAUACCGAAAGCGAAGGCAGCAGACUGGCGCACUCCUGACGCUGAAACACGAAAGCGUGGGGAGCAAACAGG
rnacentral:rRNA from 1 species